UCGAGGAUCUUUAGCAAUGGGCGCAAGCCUGACUAUGCGACGCCGCGUGAGGGAUGAAGUAUUUCGGUACGUAAACCUCUUUCGAUGGGAAAGAAAUCCUUGAUGUGAAUAAUGUCAAGGGCUGACGGUACCCAGAGAAGAAGCCACGGCCAACUCCGUGCCAGCAGCCGCGGUAAUACGGGGGUGGCGAGCGUUACUCGGAUUUAUUGGGUGUAAAGGGCAGGUAGGCGUUUUGCCAAGUUAGAAGUGAAAUCCUUUGGCUUAACCAAAGAACUGCUUCUAAAACUGGCAGAAUUGAGGCUGGAAGAGGAGAGCGGAAUUCUCGGUGUAAGGGUGAAAUCUGUAGAUAUCGAGAGGAACACCAGUGGCGAAAGCGGCUCUCUGGUCUAGCCCUGACGCU
rnacentral:rRNA from 1 species